GGAUCUUUCGCGCCAAGCGGUGCUUUGUCGGCUCUCUCGUUGGCUUGGAUUGUUUCGUAGAGUGAUUUUCUCUCUACGGGGUAGUCUCUUGUUGACUUUGGGGCGGAUAAUGCGAUACGUGUAGGUGCAUGAGUGGUGUUUUGCUUGUGUUGGUUGGUUGGAUCCUUGCUCUGGCAACGACGUCCAUCCUCACAUGCAUUUUCAGUUGCGUCUUGAGAUACAUACUAUCUUGAGUUUGGUAUCGGUUUCUUGUGUUGCGUACCUAAUGAUGGCAAUCGGUAGUCUAAAUAUCAAAUUUUGCCUUUCAUUAUUCCUUUUGGGUGAUGUAGGGUGAACCACAAAGCAAUCUCUGUGUCCCACUCCACUCACUAAAUUGUGCUUGUGGAUUGGUCCAUAGGGUAUUUGCUUGAUCUCUUGGAUGCGGUGCAUUGUAUAUGGGCAUGAGGUCUCGCGUCCUCUUUUUGCCCAAACAAAAGCUUUCGAUGCUUAGUUGCGAACGAUUGCCAUCCUCGUUUCGAGCCUUUUGGCUAGUGCGGUGAUGGCUUCGUUGAGGAAUGC
rnacentral:misc_RNA from 1 species